UACGUAGGGCGCAAGCGUUAUCCGGAAUUAUUGGGCGUAAAGAGCUCGUAGGCGGUCUGUUGCGUCGGCUGUGAAAACCCGGGGCUCAACCCCGGGCCUGCAGCCGAUACGGGCAGACUAGAGUUCGGCAGGGGAGACUGGAAUUCCUGGUGUAGCGGUGAAAUGCGCAGAUAUCAGGAGGAACACCGGUGGCGAAGGCGGGUCUCUGGGCCGUUACUGACGCUGAGGCACGAAGGCCAGGGGAGCAAACGGG
rnacentral:rRNA from 1 species